rnacentral:rRNA from 1 species
UACAGAGGUCUCAAGCGUUGUUCGGAUUCAUUGGGCGUAAAGGGUGUGUAGGUGGCGCCGUAAGUCGGGUGUGAAAUUUCGGAGCUUAACUCCGAAACUGCAUUCGAUACUGCGGUGCUUGAGGACUGGAGAGGAGACUGGAAUUUACGGUGUAGCAGUGAAAUGACGUAGAUAUCGUAAGGAAGACCAGUGGCGAAGGCGGGUCGUCGUGGACAGU